rnacentral:rRNA from 1 species
GAUGAACGCUGGCGGCGUGCCUAAUACAUGCAAGUCGAGCGAACAGACGAGGAGCUUGCUCCUCUGACGUUAGCGGCGGACGGGUGAGUAACACGUGGAUAACCUACCUAUAAGACUGGGAUAACUUCGGGAAACCGGAGCUAAUACCGGAUAAUAUAUUGAACCGCAUGGUUCAAUAGUGAAAGACGGUUUUGCUGUCACUUAUAGAUGGAUCCGCGCCGCAUUAGCUAGUUGGUAAGGUAACGGCUUACUAAGGCAACGAUGCGUAGCCGACCUGAGAGGGUGAUCGGCCACCCUGGAACUGGGACACGGUCCAGACUACUACGGGAGGCAGCAGUAGGGAAUCUUCCGCAAUGGGCGAAAGCCUGACGGAGCAACGCCGAGUGAGUGAUGAAGGUCUUGGGAUCGUAAAACUGUGUUAUUAGGGAAGAACAAAUGUGUAAGUAACUAUGCACGUCUUGACGGUACCUAAUCAGAAAGCCACGGCUAACUACGUG